GGUCGGUUAGCUCAGUUGGUUAGAGCGUCGUACUAAUAUUAUGUUGUCUAUACUGCGAUGUAAUAUCAGUAAUGCGAAGGUCAUGAGUUCGACCCUCAUACUGACCA